rnacentral:lncRNA from 1 species
GUGCUAAGGAGAGCUGGAGCUUGGCACUUCUCCCUGAAUGCAGAGCUGGUUCUGUCGCUCUGGCAUUGCCAGACUGAUGCCAUCACGUUUACAAGAAAUUCUUCGUUUCAUUAUUUUUUUUUUUUUUGUAGUUUUUUUUUUUUUUAAUGCUUCUUCUCUUUCAGGAGUUCAUCCUUGCUGAGCUGGACAUGAAGUGCUGUGCUGAAGCUGGAAUGCUGCGUGCUUAAUGGCAGAGUGGCAAGAACCUUAGACUGCAGUCAGAGACAUGAAAUUCCCUUGGCAAGCUUUACACAACCGCACUCCCAACAGAUCUCUGCACUCUCUCUCCUUCUAAACCCUUUCUCUCCUCUAAAACUCACCUUAACCUUAGACUACAGCUAGCUAAGCCUCCCAUGAAAUAGUGCUACCAAGGGAAGCCUUUUGGGAGACGUGAACACGCAGCUUUAAUACGAUUCCGCUCAUGGCAGGACUCUGAGUUUGUCGCACCCCAUGAACUAACCCUUAAACAGAACCCUGAAUCCCAAGGCAAGGCGCACUGUAGCUAGCCGCCAAGGAGCGCUGGAGCUCGGAUCUUCUCCAGGAAAGUGGCUCGCCCCCUUGCUGGAGGACCAUGGGGGCUCCAGGUUGGCCCACGUCACCAUGGAGGGGGAGGCCGGUGCCCAACACCACUUCCCAACACGUCUGCCCCACUGCGCUGCUUUCUCCUGCCGUGUGCUUCCCCUUCACCGCUAGCACAUCCUGCGACAGUGCCCACAAUGCACACACACCCUCCUUGAUGCACACCAGUGCUGAUGCAAUCACCACUUCCCAGCUUCUCUGGAGCUCAUUUUGCAUGUUGGGAUUUUUGGGACUUCACCUCCCCUCCUGAAAGACCAGGACACCAGGAGAGGUGCUGCAAGAUCUGCCUGAAGAAGGAGUGAUGGCAAAGGCUUCAGGGCAGCUGAAACAAGCUGCCCUCAAGCACCAAGGACUGACGGGAGGAAGAACCAUCCUCCCUCCCACCAGCGCUGGACCAGGACCCCAGGACAUUGAUGCUGAGCAGCCGUGCCCACCACGAGUCCUGGCGAGAGGCACGGCACUGGUGGCACCAGGCUGGCACAACUCCUGCCAUGCUCCCCAGGGAGCCCCCGGCUGCUGCUUCCCAGGAAACAGAGAAGCACAGCGGUUCCUGCACAGCUUGGGGAUCGCUGGGUCCCUGCACCCACCAGGCUGGCCUGGGGACACAGCAUUUUCCUCCCCCUUCCCCAUCGCCCACCCUCCAUCCCAUGCUGCAGCCAGCCACCAUGAGGAGCCUGAGCCACGUAAUUAGGAAAAAUCAUUUCUUUUUGCACUUCUAAAGUCUAAAAAUGGAACGCGGGCACUUCAAAUAAAUUCCUGGAGAACAAAACUGAGAAAACACAAUGGGAUUUGUAUCAAAGUGUUUGGAUUAAUUAGCUUAAACUGAAAGCUUUCAUUCUGAUUUCAACCUCAGCUUUAUGUACCAAUAAAUAAAUAAAGCAACAAAGCUUUGCAAGUUGAAAAAUCAAAAUGUUGAGCCCUGAAAAUAUCAAAACGAGAUGCUUAGCCUCGCCGAGAUGCUUUGUUUCUUUCUAAAAGCAAAUGGCAUCAAGACCAAUACCUUUGUAAGCAGCUUGGAUCAUUAAGAGCUUCAAAAAAAUCUAGAUCAGCAUAAGCAAUUAAUAUCUUAAGUGUUUUUUUUUUUGUUGUUUUUUUUUUUUUUUUUUUUUGUUUGUUUGUUUUUGUGUGUGUGUGUGUUUUUUUUUUGUUUUUUUUUUUUUCCCUCCCAAGGAAGUGUAAAACUACCAUCUGGCCAAAAUUAUCAAACUAUUUCUUUGAAUACUUUCCUUUUACUGCGUGGUUGUCACACGGAGCUUGAGCCUGAAGCCUUGAACUUGCUGCUUGGUGCUCCCUGUGUUGGACACAUUGGUUCAGCCCCUCGCAGCUCAUAUUGUAAAUCCUGGAAGGGAAAGAGAUAUGAAGGAGGUUGGGAUUUUAUCAAUGUUUGUAGUCUAAAGAUGAACAAACCAAGUUUUUGUGAACAUUUUCCUACUGUGGUUGAAAUUGAGAAAUGAAAAAUUGGGGAUCUGGGGAUCAUUGUGCUCACUUUGUUACUUUCAUUUCUCCUUCCUUGUCAAAUGCAUUUCUGUUUCAACAGCAAAAUAUGAAAAGGGUAAAACCAGAAGCAGAGAAGAAUAAUAGAGGAAAAGAGAGGCUGGAAGGUAGAAAUGCAGGGAAACAGAGAAGUUAAAAUGAAAUAUUUUGGAAGUCUGAUUUUCUAGAGACAUCUCCAGAUGAAAUACAUUUCCUUUGCAAACCUCACCAACGAGAACAACGUUGACGUUUGGAGCAAUUUUGUCUUUGGAUUUUCAAUCACCUCUCCCCACUGCAGCACCCGAAGGAGCCCCUGCUGCAGACCCCAGGGGGUUUGUGCCAUGGGGGCUGUGCCCUGUGGGUCAGCAUCCAGCAGUUCCUGGGUGCUCUUGUUCAUGGGAAGGGUGCCCACGGAUGUCCUCUGUCCCUUGCUGGUGUCACUCGUGUCCCUGCCGAGCCUUGCUGCUGCUCAGGAUGCCGGUCUCCAUUUCUGAGCCUCUCCCGUUUCUCCUUGCUAUCCCCGUUCUGCAGUCCCGCAGUACUUUCCCCACCCCAUGUUAAUUAUACUGUGGGAACUGGCUGCUCGAUGAGGUUUUGCUCCUUCUCCGUGCCGUGGUGCUGCAGCUGCUUCGGUGGGGUGAGGCUGGGGAGCAGCAGGGACUCAUCCUGACUCCUG